rnacentral:lncRNA from 1 species
UCCGCCCCUCUCUGUUUCUGCCCGCCUCUUCUCCUUCGAUCAGGUUGGCUUCCUUUAGGGUUUUCGUGUUUUUGCUAUUGCUACAUGGCAUCGUUCGUGGAAGAGGGACGAUGACGAAUGCGUUGAUUAAAGGUCUCGUUCGUCGUAAUGGCGGCACCACCGCCUUGCCGACCAUCCUGAUAUAUCACCACCCAUAUUCUGAGUCCCACUCUCUCCCUCUGCUUUUUCUUUUACUUUCGAUCUUUUAGCCACAAAGGUUUACUUUCAAUAUUUUGUUUGUGUGGCCGAUGAUUAAGCUGAUAAUAAUGACAAGCAUAUGUCUGAAGCUUAUCUGUGUGGAAUAGAUCUAAUCUUCUCUAUGAGGCCACCCUUUCGAUUUAUUUUUAUUUUUUCGUUUUAUUUUUGAAAUUUCUGGAUUUAUCGUCAGGAGAUUAAUGUGGGGCGUUUAAUUCUCUUGAUUUGAUAAGUUACAUGGUGGUUGAUGUUUCUGAUGGAGCCCAUGACGAGGAUUGUGAUACUUGUAUUUUGUCUGAGAUACUGUGAUUACAUCUUUACUACUGCCUUCCUUCUGAGGCUUCCAUCUGCAUGCUUUUUGAUUUUGGAUUUAGUAAUGUUGGUUCUUUUGUUUUGAUGUAAUAUGAUUAAUGGGCUGAAAUGGUCGCGCGAUGAUCGGUUGCAUAGUUCAAAUGAUCACCCCUUUGAGGGUAUGAUUAGUAUGAACGUCUUUCGCUCCUAUCUGAUGACCUAAACAUCUUUUGCCUUAAAUUAGAGUUUUUAUCUUCUUAUUGUUUAAAUGGAUUGACCUUUCUUAUUUUUGAGUUAUAAAAUGAUGUAAAAUUAUCCAUGGAACUGUAAUUUUUUCGAUUUUAUCUUUGAUUAAUAUAUGGUAUUUUAUAUGAUCGAGUUUUACCCGUGUAACUUUUUGAGAAAUUUCUGUGAUGUCAUCUGAAUCACAUAUUGGAACAUUCUUUUUAUUAUCACGAAUUCCUUUCUCGACUAAUAUAAACGUUCUCCAUCAUCCCUAGAGUCUACCGGUGAUUACUGCUUCAGGCGGCUGCGAUGAUCUCUGACGUUAAAACUGCAAUCCGUCUGCUUCGAUCCAAUAAACAGCCGUUUUUAUUCAGGGUCGAUUGUGUUGUAUGUGUAUAUUGAAUCAUAGCAUUGGAUAUUUGCACAAAUGUCUGAAUAUAUAUAAUUCUCACAAGGAUGGCCAGUUAUACCUAUAAAUUAGGCCUAUAAUUUUUGAAAAAUCUUAAAAUAUUGAUUAUAUGAAUUAAAAAGAAUGAUAAUAAAAAAUUCUCAGUUAGAAUUUUUAUAACACAUAAUGUUUUUUUUACUAAAUCGUAAAAAAAGUAUAACUCUAAUAGAAAACAUUAUAAUUUAAUUUCAAUUAAUUGAAAUUUUUAUUAACAAUAAAACACCAACAUUACAAAAAGUUUGGAGGUAUUAUAAAAAUAUUAAUAUAUGAAUGUGAAUGAUUUUUGUUGAAAAUGAUGAAGAUCUUGACAU